rnacentral:rRNA from 1 species
GACGAACGCUGGCGGCGUGCUUAACACAUGCAAGUCGAACGGAAAGGCCCUGCUUUUGUGGGGUGCUCGAGUGGCGAACGGGUGAGUAACACGUGAGUAACCUGCCCUUGACUUUGGGAUAACUUCAGGAAACUGGGGCUAAUACCGGAUAGGAGCUCCUGCUGCAUGGUGUGGGUUGGAAAGUUUCGGCGGUUGGGGAUGGACUCGCGGCUUAUCAGCUUGUUGGUGGGGUAGUGGCUUACCAAGGCUUUGACGGGUAGCCGGCAUGAGAGGGUGACCGGACACAUUGGGACUGAGAUACGGCCCAGACUCCUACGGGAGGCAGCAGUGGGGAAUAUUGCAAAAUGGGCGGAAGCAUGAUGCAGCAACGCCGCGUGCGGGAUGACGGCCUUCGGGUUGUAAACCGCUUUAGCCUGUGACGAAGCGUGAGUGACGGUAAUGGGUAAAGAAGCACCGGCUAACUACGUG